rnacentral:rRNA from 1 species
UGGCCCUUGGUAUUCAGUGGGGCAUGCCUGUUUGAGUGUCAUGAAUACUUCAACCCUCCUCUUUCGUUAAUGAAAGAAGAGGUGUUUGGUUUCUGAGCGCUGCUGGCCUUUACGGUCUAGCUCGUUCGUAAUGCAUUAGCAUCCGCAAUCGAACUUCGGAUUGACUUGGCGUAAUAGACUAUUCCCUGAGGAAUUCUAGUCUUCGGACUAGAGCCGGGUUGGGUUAAAGGAAGCUUCUAAUCAGAAUGUCUACAUUUUAAGAUUAGAUCUCAAAUCAGGUAGGACUACCCGCUGAACUUAAGCAUAUCAAUAAGCGGAGGAAGA